UACGUAGGGGGCAAGCGUUGUCCGGAUUUACUGGGCGUAAAGAGUGCGUAGGCGGAGAGUUAAGCGUGCCUUGAAAGCCCCCGGCUCAACCGGGGAAGGUGGGUGCGAACUGGCUUUCUUGAGGGCGAUAGAGGGGGGCGGAAUUCCUGGUGUAGCGGUGAUAUGCGUAGAGAUCAGGAGGAACACCCGUGGCGAAGGCGGCCCCCUGGGUCGGCCCUGACGCUGAGGCGCGAAAGCGUGGGGAGCGAACGGG
rnacentral:rRNA from 1 species